GUGCUUGCUUCAGCAGCACAUAUGCUAAAAUUGGAAUGAUACAGAGAAGAUUAGCAUGGCCCCUGUGCAAGGAUAACAUGCAAAUUCGUGAAGCGUUCCAUAAAAAA
rnacentral:snRNA from 1 species